GCGGUGGAGUAUGUGGUUUAAUUCGAUGCAACGCGAAGAACCUUACCUGGGUUGGAAACCCCUGGAAUCCUGCAGAGAUGUGGGAGUGCUCUUUUAGAGAAUCAGGUGUCCAGGUGCUGCAUGGUUGUCGUCAGCUCGUGUCGUGAGAUGUUGGGUUAAGUCCCGCAACGAGCGCAACCCCUGUUGUUAGUUGCCAGCGAUUCAGUCGGGCACUCUAACGAGACUGCCGGUGGUAAGCCGGAGGAAGUGGGGAUGACGUCAAAUCCUCAUGGCCCUUAUGCCCAGGGCUACACACGUACUACAAUGGUCGGUACAAAGGGCUGCGAACCCGCGAGGGGGAGCCCAAUCCCAAAAAGCCGACCUCAGUUCGGAUUGUAGUCUGCAACUCGACUGCAUGAAGUCGGAAUCGCUAGUAAUCGCGGAUCAGCAUGUCCGCGGUCGAAUACGUUCCCGGGCCUU
rnacentral:rRNA from 1 species